rnacentral:lncRNA from 1 species
GAAACCUUGAAAACAUUUUUCAUUAAUGUCUCACCUUGCUUCUUGUCCUUUAGAGUUGCAAGAUACUCCUUGCAGUUUUUCUUCCAAUUAUUUAUGAUAAACCUUGUUUCCUUGAACAUCAUUCUCUAGAGGGAUUAUCUUUGCAGGCUUAUUGAUCACAUCCAUAAGCUUUUCAUGCAUGAGAACAAUUUUCAAAUUUCUAUACCAGUCAUCAAAGUUUGGUCCUACCAAUUUGUUGGUCUCAAGUAUUUCA